GGCGACGACCGAACGCCCCCGGGAACACCGGGCCCCGAGCUCGGUCCCGCGCCCGAGGAUCCUCCACGGGGCUAGAUGGCUGCGUCGGGGGCGGGAGCGGAGGUGAGCGGGCGCUAGGGCCGCGAGCCCCCGCCGGCCCUUCCUCCAGCGCCCUGCGGACCCCGCAGAAGGCGCUCGCCUCCCUAGCCCGCAAAAACAUAUCGAUUUUUCUCGCUGUGGCAACGGGGACGUCCUGAUAGAUCCUCUGCUCCAAUAGGCAACUCCGGCCUUCCCUGCCCUGACCUGGAACCUCUGGGAGGGCUGCAGAGUAAGUGCCGCCUCUGCGCUCCGACGGAGGCACGAGGCCUGUGGAGUAGGUCCCUCUGUUCCGACAGGUGCGACACUUGGCGCUCCAUGCUUGCGGGUGCCGGGAGGCCUGGCCUCCCCCAGGGCCGCCACCUCUGCUGGUUGCUCUGUGCUUUCACCUUAAAGCUCUGCCAAGCAGAGGCUCCCGUGCAGGAAGAGAAGCUGUCAGCACCUCAAAUUUGCCAUGCUGGCUGGUGGAAGAGUUUGUGGUAGCAGAAGAGUGCUCUCCAUGCUCUAAUUUCCGGAAAACUACCCCUGAGUGUGGUCCCACAGGAUAUGUAGAGAAAAUCACAUGCAGCUCAUCUAAGAGAAAUGAGUUCAAAAGCUGCCGCUCAGCUUUGAUGGAACAACGCUUAUUUUGGAAGUUCGAAGGGGCUGUCGUGUGUGUGGCCCUGAUCUUCGCUUGUCUUGUCAUCAUUCGUCAGCGACAAUUGGACAGAAAGGCUCUGGAAAAGGUCCGGAAGCAAAUCGAGUCCAUAUAGCUACAUUCCACCCUUGUAUCCUGGGUCUUAGAGACCCUAUCUCAGACAGUGAAAGUGAAAUGGACUGAUUUGCACUCUUGGUUCUUUGGAGCCUUGUGGUGGAAUCCCCUUUUCCCCAUCUUCUUCUUUCAGAUCAUUAAUGAGCAGAAUAAAAAGAGUAAAAUGGU
rnacentral:lncRNA from 1 species